CCUACGGGUGGCAGCAGUGGGGAAUAUUGGACAAUGGGGGGAACCCUGAUCCAGCGACGCCGCGUGAGUGAAGAAGUAUUUCGGUAUGUAAAGCUCUAUCAGCAGGGAAGAAAGAAAUGACGGUACCUGACUAAGAAGCCCCGGCUAACUACGUGCCAGCAGCCGCGGUAAUACGUAGGGGGCAAGCGUUAUCCGGAUUUACGGGGUGUAAAGGGAGCGUAGACGGCGAUGCAAGUCUGAGGUGAAAGGUGGGGGCUCAACGCCCGGAGUGAAUAUGAGACUGGAGGGAUAGAGUGGAGGUGCGGGAGGGGGAAUGUAGGGUGUAGGGGGGAAAUGCAGAGA
rnacentral:rRNA from 1 species